UUCGAGAGAGUGAUAAUUUUCGAUGUGAAAGACCAUUCCGUUACAUUCUUCUCUCUAAUGACUGCAAGUACUCUCUCUUGGCUAGAGUUUUACACAGAUUUGACAAGUUGUCUUGGCGAUUUUGGAUUUAUAUAGAUCCAUAAAUGUAUAGGUCACAUUUAGAGGUUGUUCUUUUCUGGCGCCUUAUCGACGAAAAACUAGGAGCACAAGAUCACUAUUGGGAGAGCUGUUUGAAAACCUGUAAUUUUUAGAAACUGACCACUGUAAUUGAUAGGCUAUUUGGCAGUUUAUGUUGGGCCAGAGCUUCGGAGAUUCAUCAUUCCAACUAGCUAUCUUAGCCACUCCUUGUUCAAAGUGUUGCUGGAAAAAGUUGAGGAGUUCGGCUUUGAUCAUAGUGGCGGGCUCACAAUCCCAUGUGAGACUGAGACCUUCAAAUUCCUUCUAAAGUGCAUGGAGAACCAUAAUAAGGCUCACCCUGACGACAACUCUGCUGGAGAUUCAUUACCUGUCGAAGAGUGAGGAAUCAUGGUGAUCUUACUAAUACACCAGUUUUAGGACUGAUUUUCUGGUGCUAACGAAGGUCUCUUUUUUCUUUUCUUUUAUUUUUGUGCAAGUGACCAAGAUAGGAAGAUUCAGUUAGAAAGUUUUCAGAUGGGUUGUGUCGGGAUUUGUUGCUAGAGAGGGGAUGUGUGAUCUUUAUAUUCUGUAUGAUGGGAUGUGACCUAAACCUGAUGUUUGAUGGAAUAUGAAACAUAUUAAUUAAUCAGCGGGUAUUUCCAUAUGGGUUCCCUCCGAUUCUAUGCAUUUGCCAUCAUUGAAAACA